rnacentral:rRNA from 1 species
UGGGGAAUCUUCCGCAAUGGACGAAAGUCUGACGGAGCAACGCCGCGUGAGUGAAGAAGGCCUUCGGGUCGUAAAGCUCUGUCUUCAGGGACGAAUGUGCAGGAUGUGAAUAAUGUCUUGUAAUGACGGUACCUGAGGAGGAAGCCACGGCUAACUACGUGCCAGCAGCCGCGGUAAUACGUAGGUGGCAAGCGUUGUCCGGAUUUAUUGGGCGUAAAGCGCGCGCAGGCGGGAUGAUAAGUCUGUCUUAAAAGUUCGGGGCUCAACCCCGUGAUGGGAUGGAAACUGUCAUUCUUGAGUGUCGGAGAGGAAAGUGGAAUUCCUAGUGUAGCGGUGAAAUGCGUAGAUAUUAGGAGGAACACCAGUGGCGAAGGCGACUUUCUGGACGAUGUCUGACGCU